rnacentral:rRNA from 1 species
CGUACGCUGGCGGCAGGCCUAACACAUGCAAGUCGAGCGGAUGAAGGGAGCUUGCUCCUGGAUUCAGCGGCGGACGGGUGAGUAAUGCCUAGGAAUCUGCCUGGUAGUGGGGGAUAACGUCCGGAAACGGGCGCUAAUACCGCAUACGUCCUGAGGGAGAAAGUGGGGGAUCUUCGGACCUCACGCUAUCAGAUGAGCCUAGGUCGGAUUAGCUAGUUGGUGGGGUAAAGGCCUACCAAGGCGACGAUCCGUAACUGGUCUGAGAGGAUGAUCAGUCACACUGGAACUGAGACACGGUCCAGACUCCUACGGGAGGCAGCAGUGGGGAAUAUUGGACAAUGGGCGAAAGCCUGAUCCAGCCAUGCCGCGUGUGUGAAGAAGGUCUUCGGAUUGUAAAGCACUUUAAGUUGGGAGGAAGGGCAGUAAGUUAAUACCUUGCUGUUUUGACGUUACCAACAGAAUAAGCACCGGCUAACUUCGUGCCAGCCCCGCCGCGGUA